rnacentral:rRNA from 1 species
CGCAAGCCUGACGGAGCAAGACCGCGUGCGGGAUGACGGCCUAAUGGUUGUAAACCGCUUUUCUCUGGGAAGAUGAUGACGGUACCAGAGGAAUCAGCCUCGGCUAACUCCGUGCCAGCAGCCGCGGUAAUACGGAGGAGGCAAGCGUUAUCCGGAAUUAUUGGGCGUAAAGCGUCCGUAGGUGGUUAUUCAAGUCUGCUGUCAAAGCGUGGGGCUUAACUCCAUAGAGGCAGUGGAAACUGGGUGACUUGAGUGCGGUAGGGGUCGAGGGAAUUCCCAGUGUAGCGGUGAAAUGCGUAGAUAUUGGGAAGAACACCAGUGGCGAAAGCGCUCGACUGGGCCUGCACUGACACUGAGGGACGAAAGCUAGGGGAGCG